rnacentral:rRNA from 1 species
UACGGGGGGGGCAAGCGUUGUUCGGAAUUACUGGGCGUAAAGGGCUCGUAGGCGGCCAACUAAGUCAUACGUGAAAUCCCUCGGCUUAACCGGGGAACUGCGUCUGAUACUGGAUGGCUUGAGUUCGGGAGAGGGAUGCGGAAUUCCAGGUGUAGCGGUGAAAUGCGUAGAUAUCUGGAGGAACACCGGUGGCGAAGGCAGCAUCCUGGACCGAUACUGACGCUGAGGAGCGAAAGCCAGGGGAGCAAACGGG